rnacentral:rRNA from 1 species
AGUGAACGCUGGCGGUAGGCCUAACACAUGCAAGUCGAACGGCAGCACAGUAAGAGCUUGCUCUUACGGGUGGCGAGUGGCGGACGGGUGAGGAAUACAUCGGAAUCUACUUUUUCGUGGGGGAUAACGUCGGGAAACUUCCGCUAAUACCGCAUACGACCUACGGGUGGAAGCAGGGGAUCUUCGGACCUUGCGCGAUUGAAUGAGCCGAUGUCGGCUUAGCUAGUUGGCGGGGUAAAGGCCCACCACGGCGACGAUCCGUAGCUGGUCUGAGAGGAAGAUCCGCCACACUGUAACAGAGGCACGUCCCACACUCCUACGGGGAGCAGCAGCGGGGAAUAUUGGACAAUGCGGGCAAGCCUGAUCCAGCCAUACCGCGUGGGUGAAGAAGGCCUUCGGGUUCUAAAGCCCUUUUGUUGUGAAAGAAAAGCAGCAGGUUAAUACCCCGCUGUUCUGACGGUACCCAAAGAAUAAGCACCGGCUAACUUCGUG